GUGGGGAAUAUUGGACAAUGGGGGGAACCCUGAUCCAGCCAUGCUGCGUGUGUGAAGAAGGCCUUUUGGUUGUAAAGCACUUUAAGCGAGGAGGAGGCUACCGAGAUUAAUACUCUUGGAUAGUGGACGUUACUCGCAGAAUAAGCACCGGCUAACUCUGUGCCAGCAGCCGCGGUAAUACAGAGGGUGCAAGCGUUAAUCGGAUUUACUGGGCGUAAAGCGCGCGUAGGUGGCCAAUUAAGUCAAAUGUGAAAUCCCCGAGCUUAACUUGGGAAUUGCAUUCGAUACUGGUUGGCUAGAGUAUGGGAGAGGAUGGUAGAAUUCCAGGUGUAGCGGUGAAAUGCGUAGAGAUCUGGAGGAAUACCGAUGGCGAAGGCAGCCAUCUGGCCUAAUACUGACACUGAGGUGCGAAAGCAUGGGGAGCAAACAGGAUUAGAAACCCGAGUAGUCC
rnacentral:rRNA from 1 species